UACUGCUCCGCCGUUGUUUGCGCCUAUCAACACUACAAGUCAAUACUACUUUGUCGGUGAGCAGAUAUAUAAAGUUGAAGCAAGAGACGAAUCCGACCCGGACUAUACAGCGGCAUCCACAUCAGCUAGAAACGGAAGCGAUUAUACGGCGGUAUCCAUUUCAGCGAGCGGUAGCUCCGAAUGCACAGCACCGGUCUAUGUCGUAAAUUCUCCUGAUAGUGCGAAUGUAACAGAUGGUACUUGUGAUACAAACGAUAGUAUUACAUCCAUUUCUGGAAAUGAGUCUAAUGUGCCCAAUGAAUCUAGCCUUGGCAUUUGCCAGCCGACAGAAGAUGGGAAAAGCUUGAAUGAAGCAGAGCAAUGUCAACAAAAAGUCCUCUUCAAUCAAUUGUACUAUCUAAUGCCAUUGGUUCUUCAAAGACGAUUUCUAACAAUAAUGAUAAUCUACCACACGAGUGCAAUGUGUUUUCAACGAAAACCUUGGAACAGUUGCUGAAACGCUCCGAAGAAGGAAAGGAAAUUUUGCAGUACGGAAUCAAAUCUGAGCUUUCGGAAGCGAAGCAGUUAGAACUCUCUAGAAAACUACUUCAUCUCAAGAAGCGGUGAUAGAAAGAACCAUGGCGGAAAAAUAGCCAACAAGAUUGGCAAUUUAAAGCAGAGAAAAAGGAAGCGAGAAACUAAAGAAAACGAAUACCAAGCAACAAAACAGUCUGCUAACGAUUGCCAGCCACCUCGGAACGCAGAAGCAGAGGAAGCAGCUGAAUGGUUGCUGUUGAACACUGAUCCAUGGUCUGUUGUUCUAGAAAGAUGGAAAAUCAGCUACGAAGCACGAAAGGAUGAUUUAUUAUCCCAAAAGCGUAUCACCAGAAUUCUUACGACAUAUCCGCAAUACAGAUGCCCACAUGGUUUCCAACUGAUCGACAUUGAUUUCCAAAAAUGUUUUCCUAAAGCUGAAAACGGAUUAAAGAAACUGCAAUUUUUGGUGCCACUGAUCACGGAAUACAUUUCAAAGAAAGCUGUCGACCCAUCUGCGGUAUCGUUGCUUGAGGGACUGACUACUGAUAACGCAAGUAUUGGUAAGAUA